rnacentral:lncRNA from 1 species
AAAGACCUGUCUGAAGGCCGUGCGCGAGAGAGAGAGAGACCGAGAGAAGGUCGGCAGGUGCUUUGUCUCUACUUGUUUUGUUGCGUACUCGAUUCUUCUUCUUCUUCUUCUCCUCGCUGCUAUCUACUUGUUGUGUUCAUUAUUUAUGGGUGGAUGAUGAUGCUGGAAGAUAAAAAGGCAUUGAAAGCUAAGCAAGCCCGGCAACGACAGCCAUGACAGCAGCACAGCGAGAACGUUGUCUUCUUCUGGGCAAGACUAGACUCGAUGCAGGCGAAAGUCGUGUGGAAGUCUACCAAGUGUAACCUAUCUACAUCUGGUUCUGAUAGCGAAGGAUGACGCCGAAGCCCUCGAAAGCAUCCACCCACCCAAUGCCCUCUUGUUCCGAGCGUGCCAUGGCACAGCACGAGCCAUGGUGUUCAUCAAGGUCAUCCAUCUUCCUGCACAUCGACUGUAGUGUUCGAGAGAGACACUAAGGUGGCAGAAACAUCAUGUGAUGGAGCAGAUUUCCGUGUCUCAGAAUCAUCCGAACAGUCAACAAAAGGGAACUCCCCUGCCUCAACAAUGCCUCGAGGUGUUGGAAGUGGAAAUUAUCAGUUAAGCUGUUCUUAUCAGAAGCAACCUUUGAUUGAUUAGCCAUUGAAAUUAUUUCUCCGAGGAAAAGGAUAUGAAAUGUCACACUCUCCUGCUUGCAUGACAUGAAAGUGGCCUGCAUUUUUUGUGUUAGCGCUGUC